rnacentral:snRNA from 1 species
GACCAAAUAGUACUUGUCU